rnacentral:sRNA from 12 species
GGUCCCCACCAAAGCUGCGCCGACAGGCCAUGCGGGAGUGAGGGAGGCUUUACCUUCGGGUUCUGCCAUUCCUGCCACAUCUGGUGCCGGGCAUCGAUCCGACAGGGUAGUGCGCAUUGCGGCGCCGCCCGGGAUCGGAGGCACGGGGACGA